rnacentral:rRNA from 1 species
GACGAACGCUGGCGGCGUGCUUAACACAUGCAAGUCGAACGGAAAGGCCUUUUCGGCGGUACUCGAGUGGCGAACGGGUGAGUAAGACGUGGGUGAUCUGCCCUGCACUCUGGGAUAAGGCUGGGAAACUGGGUCUAAUAACGGAUAGGACGGCACUUUCGUGCGUGUGGUGGCAAGUUUUUUCGGUGUAGGAUGAGCCGGCGGCCUAUCAGCUUGUUGGUGGGGUAAUGGCCUACCAAGGCGGCGACGGGUAGCCGGACUGAGAGGUUGGGCGGCCACAUUGGGACUGAGAUACGGCCCAGACGCCUACGGGAGGCAGCAGGGGGGAAUAUUGCACCAGGGGCGCAAGCCUGAUGCAGCGACGCCGCGGGGGGGAUGACGGCCUUCGGGUUGAAAACUCCUUGCGCCAGGGACGAAGCGUUUUGUGACGGUACCUGGAGAAGAAGCACCGGCUAACUACGUG